rnacentral:lncRNA from 1 species
AUCUGGUCAGAAAUAUUGUCAUGUUGGCAACUGUUAUGAAAAUACUGUUAGAAGAUAAAACCUGAGAAUCACAUUUACCUAUUUAUACCAGGAGAUGCAAACACCAGUGUCUUCAAUGGGCAAGCAGCGGGGUGAAUUCAUGAGUGUCCUGAAAGCACCUGAUAAACCUAUGAGAGAGGUUCUCACCACAAACCUUG